rnacentral:rRNA from 1 species
CUAUACAUGCAGUCGAGCGGACAGAAGGGAGCUUGCUCCCGGAUGUUAGCGGCGGACGGGUGAGUAACACGUGGGUAACCUGCCUGUAAGACUGGGAUAACUCCGGGAAACCGGAGCUAAUACCGGAUAGUUCCUUGAACCGCAUGGUUCAAGGAUGAAAGACGGUUUCGGCUGUCACUUACAGAUGGACCCGCGGCGCAUUAGCUAGUUGGUGGGGUAAUGGCUCACCAAGGCGACGAUGCGUAGCCGACCUGAGAGGGUGAUCGGCCACACUGGGACUGAGACACGGCCCAGACUCCUACGGGAGGCAGCAGUAGGGAAUCUUCCGCAAUGGACGAAAGUCUGACGGAGCAACGCCGCGUGAGUGAUGAAGGUUUUCGGAUCGUAAAGCUCUGUUGUUAGGGAAGAACAAGUGCGAGAGUAACUGCUCGCACCUUGACGGUACCUAACCAGAAAGCCACGGCUAACUACGUGCCAGCAGCCGCGGUAAUACGUAGGUGGCAAGCGUUGUCCGGAAUUAUUGGGCGUAAAGGGCUCGCAGGCGGUUUCUUAAGUCUGAUGUGAAAGCCCCCGGCUCAACCGGGGAGGGUCAUUGGAAACUGGGAAACUUGAGUGCAGAAGAGGAGAGUGGAAUUCCACGUGUAGCGGUGAAAUGCGUAGAGAUGUGGAGGAACACCAGUGGCGAAGGCGACUCUCUGGUCUGUAACUGACGCUGAGGAGCGAAAGCGUGGGGAGCGAACAGGAUUAGAUACCCUGGUAGUCCACGCCGUAAACGAUGAGUGCUAAGUGUUAGGGGGUUUCCGCCCCUUAGUGCUGCAGCUAACGCAUUAAGCACUCCGCCUGGGGAGUACGGUCGCAAGACUGAAACUCAAAGGAAUUGACGGGGGCCCGCACAAGCGGUGGAGCAUGUGGUUUAAUUCGAAGCAACGCGAAGAACCUUACCAGGUCUUGACAUCCUCUGACAACCCUAGAGAUAGGGCUUUCCCUUCGGGGACAGAGUGACAGGUGGUGCAUGGUUGUCGUCAGCUCGUGUCGUGAGAUGUUGGGUUAAGUCCCGCAACGA